UUAUUUACAAUGCCUGCCACUGGC
rnacentral:siRNA from 1 species